rnacentral:tRNA from 1 species
GAGGGUGCAGCUCAGUGGUAGAGAGUGUGCUUAGCAUGCACGAGGUCCUGGGUUCAAUCCCCAGUACUUCCA